rnacentral:lncRNA from 1 species
AUCUCUCUGGAUAGAGGUUGUGUUCCUUUCAAGCUGUCUCUGGUCCUCAGAUGAGAGUGACUUUCAGGAUAAAGAUGAGGAAUGAGAUGAGCAGCAACCAGUCAAAUCUGCUGUGCAGCUAAUUGAGGAAUGAUCAGUGCUGUGAAGAGCAGAACUGACUAAGUGAAGACUCUGGGGCAUAAUGUUAUUUGGCUGGAUUUUCUGGCAUUUAAAAAUAGUGUUUUCCCUGCUGUAACUUUCCCCUUCAGAGGGCUGCUCUUCCCUCUGCCCUAGUUGCCUAUUUUCACAACACCAGUAGGAAUGCAAUAAUUCUUUUCAGCCUCUUGUCAAUUUUGAUCAACCUACAGAUUCAAGGUCGUUAGUGGGUAACUGACAGCCAGAGUGAAUGGUAAUUCUUGUUUGCUUGAAAAAGAGGAAAGAAGAAAAAUCAGAUCAUUUAGAGGGGAACAAAAGGGGCCGAUCAGGAGAGAGAAGCAAAAGGAGCGAUGAGCUGGAUGCUUUUUACUGGUUACUCUAUACCCAGAUGUUAUGUCUGUAAAGAAGCCUGUUUCAUACUUCAGAAUAUUUCCACAAAGAGAGAUUCUGACAGCUUCCACUUUUCUCUCAUUUUGCAUGAUGCUCUUAGACCAGGUGCUGCACACUUUCCAGAAUUAAAGACCCCCGCAAAGGCCUCUUUCCCAGAGCAGAGCUAUCCCAGCUGUGCUCAGACAACGCUGACAUCCACUUUCCCUUAAAUUUGCUACUAGUUUGUCUUUGAAAUGAAAACUCCCCUCCUUCUCUUGUCCAAAUUCCUGGGUUUCACCCCAGAGGUAGCUGUAUUUCACUGUCAAUUGAGCUGACCAUGAGGGAUGAGUAUUCCCUUCUGCUUCAUCAUGAAAAAGGGACUGCAGAAGAGCUCUCUUUUCUAUGUACUCCUCAGCUGUCAUCACUAUGCAAAAGAUCAUUUAAUGAAUCUCCAGCAAGAUGUUUGAAAUGACAGGAAGGAUCUACCUUUUCAGCUGGACGUUGGCGCACAGCUCCCCAAGCUGCUGCAGCUUUGUGCAUUUCUCUGCAAAGACAGCAAUGUUAAAAGUAGAGCUGCUGAUGGAAAAGCAGCAAAGAGCCACACAGGGAAGGGGAGACAGAUGUGGCUGUCCUACCACUUCAUUUCUCUUAGCAGUUUGCAUAGCUGGGAAAUGGGGAGAAGAUGGACAGUAUGUCCCUUUGCCCAUGGUCCCAAGUCCUGCUAGAAAGGUGAAGGAAAGAGGCCUGCAAGGCAAUGAAGUGGAGAUUUGUCCGGGCCAGAAGCUUGGGUAGUAAUUCUGCAAGAGCUCAUAGGAACACAUACACCUCUGGCUGCUGGAACCUGUUUGACUGCCAGAGGGGACAUGAGCCAGAAGACCAGGUCACCCAAGAAAAAAACCCCCCAAAGUAUAAAAGAACUCAAAACCAACAACAACAGAAAGAAAGAAAUAGCACACAGACCUCCUCCAAAAUACCAACAGAAUCAGCCCCACGACAGGCUCAUUGAAGAUAAAGGAGUCUUCACCAGGGAUGAAUUUGCUGUGGUAUAAUUAAUUCCCCUUUGGAACAGUUGCCAGCAGGGAUAUCUGAUUAAAAAUCUCUUCCUCCUCCAAUAGGAAGCACCUCCUGAAGCACAGCACCUCCCUUCCAUUCCCCACAGCAGGAAGCACCACUCCAAGCCCCAGUGUGAGACUUGAACCUGCAGUGACCUCCUGAGCCCUGCAGUGGAGGAUAUAUUAGCCAAUGAGUCAUGUUGACUCUGGCUUGAAUCUAAAUAGGCCUCUUCUCUCAUACCAGAGAAACCACGUUCAUACAGCUACGGACCUUGCCUGUAUCGGAUGACCCUUAAUGCAUGAAUUGGGUGGUGCUCGUUGCUGACAUCCUUGCCUGGAGGAAAGGAGUGAGCAAUGGGGUGGGGAUGUCAAAAUCCAGUUCCUCCAGAAGCUACAUCCUCUCUGUAAUUUAGGAUGCAGAAGGAAUUGUCAUCCAAUUUGUACAUUAGAGACUAAACCAGCACUCUAAAUAAUGGAAAUAACGACUUC